rnacentral:rRNA from 1 species
GAUGAACGCUGGCGGCGUGCCUAAUACAUGCAAGUCGAGCGAACGGACGAGAAGCUUGCUUCUCUGAUGUUAGCGGCGGACGGGUGAGUAACACGUGGAUAACCUACCUAUAAGACUGGGAUAACUUCGGGAAACCGGAGCUAAUACCGGAUAAUAUUUUGAACCGCAUGGUUCAAAAGUGAAAGACGGUCUUGCUGUCACUUAUAGAUGGAUCCGCGCUGCAUUAGCUAGUUGGUAAGGUAACGGCUUACCAAGGCAACGAUGCAUAGCCUACCUGAGAGGGUGAUCGGCCACACUGGAACUGAGACGCGGUCCAGACUCCUACGGGAGGCAGCAGUAGGGAAUCUUCCGCAAUGGGCGAAAGCCUGACGGAGCAACGCCGCGUGAGUGAUGAAGGUCUUCGGAUCGUAAAACUCUGUUAUUAGGGAAGAACAUAUGUGUAAGUAACUAUGCACAUCUUGACGGUACCUAAUCAGAAAGCCACGGCUAACUACGUG